rnacentral:rRNA from 1 species
GGCAGGCCUAACACAUGCAAGUCGAGCGGUAAACGACUUAACUGAACCUUCGGGGAACGUUAAGGGCGUCGAGCGGCGGACGGGUGAGUAAUGCCUGGGAAUAUGCCUUAGUGUGGGGGAUAACUAUUGGAAACGAUAGCUAAUACCGCAUAAUGUCUUCGGACCAAAGAGGGGGACCUUCGGGCCUCUCGCGCUAAGAUUAGCCCAGGUGAGAUUAGCUAGUUGGUGAGGUAAGAGCUCACCAAGGCGACGAUCUCUAGCUGGUCUGAGAGGAUGAUCAGCCACACUGGAACUGAGACACGGUCCAGACUCCUACGGGAGGCAGCAGUGGGGAAUAUUGCACAAUGGGCGAAAGCCCUGAUGCAGCCAUGCCGCGUGUAUGAAGAAGGCCUUCGGGUUGUAAAGUACUUUCAGUAGGGAGGAAGGUGUUUGUAGUUAAUAGCUGCAGCAUUUGACGUUACCUACAGAAGAAGCACCGGCUANCUCCGUGCCAGCAGCCGCGAGUAAUACGGAGGGUGCGAGCGUUAAUCGGAAUUACUGGGCGUAAAGCGCAUGCCAGGUGGUUCAUUAAGUCAGAUGUGAAAGCCCGGGGCUCAACCUCGGAACCGCAUUUGAAACUGGUG